AUGUAUCUAUUUGACAGACCUGGGGCAGAUACUGUCUGCUGAGGUUUCACCACAGAUGCAAGAAAAAAGUGUUCUCCCACUUCCUGUCUGUCUGAUUGUGGCACCCAAGACUGAAGAAUACAGGAGUAAACCA
rnacentral:snoRNA from 1 species